GCGGACGUGGCGGAACUGGUAGACGCGCGGGUCUCAGAAGCCCGUGGGAGCAAUCUCGUGAUGGUUCGAUUCCAUUCGUCCGCACCA
rnacentral:tRNA from 2 species